CCUACGGGCGGCUGCAGUGGGGAAUUUUGGACAAUGGGGGAAACCCUGAUCCAGCCAUGCCGCGUGCGGGAUGAAGGCCUUCGGGUUGUAAACCGCUUUUGUCAGAGACGAAAAGGGACGUACGAAUAAUACGUUCCGCUGACGGUAUCUGAAGAAUAAGCACCGGCUAACUACGUGCCAGCAGCCGCGGUAAUACGUAGGGUGCAAGCGUUAAUCGGAAUUACUGGGCGUAAAGGGUGCGCAGGCGGCUGUGCAAGACAGAUGUGAAAUCCCCGGGCUUAACCUGGGAACUGCAUUUGUGACUGCACGGCUAGAGUUUGUCAGAGGAGGGUGGAAUUCCGCGUGUAGCAGUGAAAUGCGUAGAUAUGCGGAAGAACACCAAUGGCGAAGGCAGCCCUCUGGGACAUGACUGACGCUCAUGCACGAAAGCGUGGGGAGCAAACAGGAUUAGAUACCCCUGUAGUC
rnacentral:rRNA from 1 species